rnacentral:rRNA from 1 species
GACGAACGCUGGCGGCGUGCUUAACACAUGCAAGUCGAACGGAAAGGCCCUGCUUGCAGGGUGCUCGAGUGGCGAACGGGUGAGUAACACGUGGGUGAUCUGCCCCUUACUUUGGGAUAAGCCUGGGAAACUGGGUCUAAUACUGGAGAGGACCCUGCUGUAGGUGGUGUGGUGGAAAGAUUAGUUUCGGUAAGGGAUGAGCUCGCGGCCUAUCAGCUUGUUGUUGUGGUAAUGGCCUACCAAGGCGUCGACGGGUGGCCGGCCUGAGAGGGUGGACGGCCACAUUGGGACUAAGAUACGGCCCAGAAUCCUACGGGAGGCAGCAGUGGGGAAGAUUGCACAAUGGGCGCAAGACGGAUGCAGCGACGCCGCGUGGGGGAUGACGGCCUUCGGGUGGUAGACUACUUUCAGCCAUGGCGAAGCCCUUGUGGUGACGGUAGUGGUAGAAGAAGCACCGGCUAACUACGUG